rnacentral:rRNA from 1 species
UACGUAGGGGGCUAGCGUUAUCCGGAAUUACUGGGCGUAAAGGGUGCGUAGGUGGUUUCUUAAGUUAGAGGUGAAAGGCUACGGCUCAACCGUAGUAAGCCUUUGAAACUGGGAAACUUGAGUGCAGGAGAGGAGAGUGGAAUUCCUAGUGUAGCGGUGAAAUGCGUAGAUAUUAGGAGGAACACCAGUUGCGAAGGCGGCUCUCUGGACUGUAACUGACACUGAGGCACGAAAGCGUGGGGAGCAAACAGG